GGGCCCGCACAAGCGGUGGAGCAUGUGGUUUAAUUCGAAGAUACGCGCAGAACCUUACCAACACUUGACAUGUUCGUCGCGACUUUAAGAGAUUAAAGUUUUCGGUUCGGCCGGACGAAACACAGGUGCUGCAUGGCUGUCGUCAGCUCGUGUCGUGAGAUGUUGGGUUAAGUCCCGCAACGAGCGCAACCCUCACUUUUAGUUGCCAUCAUUUAGUUGGGCACUCUGAAAGAACUGCCAGUGAUAAGCUGGAGGAAGGUGGGGAUGACGUCAAGUCCUCAUGGCCCUUACGUGUUGGGCUACACACGUGCUACAAUGGUAUCUACAACAGGAAGCAAAACGGCGACGUUUAGCAAAUCCUUAAAAGAUACCUCAGUUCGGAUUGCACUCUGCAACUCGAGUGCAUGAAGCUGGAAUUACUAGUAA
rnacentral:rRNA from 1 species